GGCUUAACACAUGCAAGUCGAGGGGCAGCAUGGUCUUUUCUUGCUAAGGCCGAUGGCGACCGGCGCACGGGUGAGUAACACGUAUCCAACCUGCCGUCUACUCUUGGACAGCCUUCUGAAAGGAAGAUUAAUACAAGAUGGCAUCAUGAGUCCGCAUGUUCACAUGAUUAAAGGUAUUCCGGUAGACGAUGGGGAUGCGUUCCAUUAGAUAGUAGGCGGGGUAACGGCCCACCUAGUCUUCGAUGGAUAGGGGUUCUGAGAGGAAGGUCCCCCACAUUGGAACUGAGACACGGUCCAAACUCCUACGGGAGGCAGCAGUGAGGAAUAUUGGUCAAUGGGCGAGAGCCUGAACCAGCCAAGUAGCGUGAAGGAUGACUGCCCUAUGGGUUGUAAACUUCUUUUAUAAAGGAAUAAAGUCGGGUAUGGAUACCCGUUUGCAUGUACUUUAUGAAUAAGGAUCGGCUAACUCCGUGCCAGCAGCCGCGGUAAUACGGAGGAUCCGAGCGUUAUCCGGAUUUAUUGGGUUUAAAGGGAGCGUAGAUGGAUGUUUAAGUCAGUUGUGAAAGUUUGCGGCUCAACCGUAAAAUUGCAGUUGAUACUGGAUAUCUUGAGUGCAGUUGAGGCAGGCGGAAUUCGUGGUGUAGCGGUGAAAUGCUUAGAUAUCACGAAGAACUCCGAUUGCGAAGGCAGCCUGCUAAGCUGCGACUGACAUUGAGGCUCGAAAGUGUGGGUAUCAAACAGGAUUAGAUACCCUGGUAGUCCACACGGUAAACGAUGAAUACUCGCUGUUUGCGAUAUACUGCAAGCGGCCAAGCGAAAGCGUUAAGUAUUCCACCUGGGGAGUACGCCGGCAACGGUGAAACUCAAAGGAAUUGACGGGGGCCCGCACAAGCGGAGGAACAUGUGGUUUAAUUCGAUGAUACGCGAGGAACCUUACCCGGGCUUAAAUUGCAGAUGAAUUACGGUGAAAGCCGUAAGCCGCAAGGCAUCUGUGAAGGUGCUGCAUGGUUGUCGUCAGCUCGUGCCGUGAGGUGUCGGCUUAAGUGCCAUAACGAGCGCAACCCUUGUUGUCAGUUACUAACAGGUUCCGUUGAGGACUCUGACAAGACUGCCAUCGUAAGAUGUGAGGAAGGUGGGGAUGACGUCAAAUCAGCACGGCCCUUACGUCCGGGGCUACACACGUGUUACAAUGGGGGGUACAGAGGGCCGCUACCACGCGAGUGGAUGCCAAUCCCCAAAACCUCUCUCAGUUCGGACUGGAGUUUGCAACCCGACUCCACGAAGCUGGAUUCGCUAGUAAUCGCGCAUCAGCCACGGCGCGGUGAAUACGUUCCCGGGCCUUGUACACACCGCCCGUCAAGCCAUGGGAGCCGGGGGUACCUGAAGUGCGUAACCGCGAGGAGCGCCCUAGGGUAAAACUGGUGACUG
rnacentral:rRNA from 1 species